CGGUUAAGUUAGAAAGGGCGCACGGUGGAUGCCUUGGCACUAGGAGCCGAUGAAGGACGGGACGAACACCGAUAUGCUUCGGGGAGCUGUAAGCAAGCUUUGAUCCGGAGAUUUCCGAAUGGGGAAACCCACCACUCGUAAUGGAGUGGUAUCCAUAUCUGAAUACAUAGGAUAUGAGAAGGCAGACCCGGGGAACUGAAACAUCUAAGUACCCGGAGGAAGAGAAAGCAAAUGCGAUUCCCUGAGUAGCGGCGAGCGAAACGGGACCAGCCCAAACCAAGAGGCUUGCCUCUUGGGGUUGUAGGACACUCUGUACGGAGUUACAAAGGAACGAGGUAGAUGAAGAGGUCUGGAAAGGCCCGCCAUAGGAGGUAACAGCCCUGUAGUCAAAACUUCGUUCUCUCCUGAGUGGAUCCUGAGUACGGCGGAACACGUGAAAUUCCGUCGGAAUCCGGGAGGACCAUCUCCCAAGGCUAAAUACUCCCUAGUGACCGAUAGUGAACCAGUACCGUGAGGGAAAGGUGAAAAGCACCCCGGAAGGGGAGUGAAAGAGAUCCUGAAACCGUGUGCCUACAAGUAGUCAGAGCCCGUUAACGGGUGAUGGCGUGCCUUUUGUAGAAUGAACCGGCGAGUUACGAUCCCGUGCAAGGUUAAGCAGAAGAUGCGGAGCCGCAGCGAAAGCGAGUCUGAAUAGGGCGAAUUGAGUACGUGGUCGUAGACCCGAAACCAGGUGAUCUACCCAUGUCCAGGGUGAAGUUCAGGUAACACUGAAUGGAGGCCCGAACCCACGCACGUUGAAAAGUGCGGGGAUGAGGUGUGGGUAGGGGUGAAAUGCCAAUCGAACCUGGAGAUAGCUGGUUCUCUCCGAAAUAGCUUUAGGGCUAGCCUCAAGGUAAGAGUCUCGGAGGUAGAGCACUGAUUGGACUAGGGGCCCCUACCGGGUUACCGAAUUCAGUCAAACUCCGAAUGCCGAUGACUUAUCCUUGGGAGUCAGACUGCGAGUGAUAAGAUCCGUAGUCGAAAGGGAAACAGCCCAGACCGCCAGCUAAGGUCCCAAAGUAUACGUUAAGUGGAAAAGGAUGUGGAGUUGCUUAGACAACCAGGAUGUUGGCUUAGAAGCAGCCACCAUUUAAAGAGUGCGUAAUAGCUCACUGGUCGAGUGACUCUGCGCCGAAAAUGUACCGGGGCUAAACGUAUCACCGAAGCUGCGGACUGUUCUUCGAACAGUGGUAGGAGAGCGUUCUAAGGGCUGUGAAGCAAGACCGGAAGGACUUGUGGAGCGCUUAGAAGUGAGAAUGCCGGUAUGAGUAGCGAAAGAGGGGUGAGAAUCCCCUCCACCGAAUGCCUAAGGUUUCCUGAGGAAGGCUCGUCCGCUCAGGGUUAGUCGGGACCUAAGCCGAGGCCGAAAGGCGUAGGCGAUGGAUAACAGGUUGAUAUUCCUGUACCACCUCCUCACCAUUUGAGCAAUGGGGGGACGCAGGAGGAUAGGGUAAGCGCGGUAUUGGAUAUCCGCGUCCAAGCAGUUAGGCUGGGAAAUAGGCAAAUCCGUUUCCCGUGAAGGCUGAGCUGUGAUGGCGAGCGAAUUAUAGUAGCGAAGUUCCUGAUUCCACACUGCCAAGAAAAGCCUCUAGCGAGGUGAGAGGUGCCCGUACCGCAAACCGACACAGGUAGGCGAGGAGAGAAUCCUAAGGUGAUCGAGAGAACUCUCGUUAAGGAACUCGGCAAAAUGACCCCGUAACUUCGGGAGAAGGGGUGCUCUGUUAGGGUGCAAGCCCGAGAGAGCCGCAGUGAAUAGGCCCAGGCGACUGUUUAGCAAAAACACAGGUCUCUGCGAAGCCGUAAGGCGAAGUAUAGGGGCUGACGCCUGCCCGGUGCUGGAAGGUUAAGAGGAGCGCUUAGCGUAAGCGAAGGUGCGAAUUGAAGCCCCAGUAAACGGCGGCCGUAACUAUAACGGUCCUAAGGUAGCGAAAUUCCUUGUCGGGUAAGUUCCGACCCGCACGAAAGGCGCAACGAUCUGGGCACUGUCUCAACGAGAGACUCGGUGAAAUUAUAGUACCUGUGAAGAUGCAGGUUACCCGCGACAGGACGGAAAGACCCCGUGGAGCUUUACUGCAGCCUGAUAUUGAAUGUUGGUACAGCUUGUACAGGAUAGGUAGGAGCCUUGGAAACCGGAGCGCCAGCUUCGGUGGAGGCAUCGGUGGGAUACUACCCUGGCUGUAUUGACCUUCUAACCCGCCGCCCUUAUCGGGCGGGGAGACAGUGUCAGGUGGGCAGUUUGACUGGGGCGGUCGCCUCCUAAAAGGUAACGGAGGCGCCCAAAGGUUCCCUCAGAAUGGUUGGAAAUCAUUCGCAGAGUGUAAAGGCACAAGGG
rnacentral:rRNA from 1 species